UACGAAGGGGACUAGCGUUGUUCGGAAUCACUGGGCGUAAAGGGCGCGUAGGCGGGUCUUUAAGUCGGGGGUGAAAUCCUGGAGCUCAACUCCAGAACUGCCUUCGAUACUGGAAGACUCGAGUCCGGGAGAGGUGAGUGGAACUGCGAGUGUAGAGGUGAAAUUCGUAGAUAUUCGCAAGAACACCAGUGGCGAAGGCGGCUCACUGGCCCGGUACUGACGCUGAGGUGGCGAAAGCGUGGGGAGCAAACAGG
rnacentral:rRNA from 1 species